AACGAACGCUGGCGGCAGGCUUAACACAUGCAAGUCGAGCGCCCCGCAAGGGGAGCGGCAGACGGGUGAGUAACGCGUGGGAAUCUACCUUUUGCUACGGAACAACUCAGGGAAACUUGUGCUAAUACCGUAUGUGCCCUUCGGGGGAAAGAUUUAUCGGCAAAGGAUGAGCCCGCGUUGGAUUAGCUAGUUGGUGGGGUAAUGGCCUACCAAGGCGACGAUCCAUAGCUGGUCUGAGAGGAUGAUCAGCCACAUUGGGACUGAGACACGGCCCAAACUCCUACGGGAGGCAGCAGUGGGGAAUAUUGGACAAUGGGCGCAAGCCUGAUCCAGCCAUGCCGCGUGAGUGAUGAAGGCCCUAGGGUUGUAAAGCUCUUUCACCGGUGAAGAUAAUGACGGUAACCGGAGAAGAAGCCCCGGCUAACUUCGUGCCAGCCGCCGCGGUAACAC
rnacentral:rRNA from 1 species